rnacentral:rRNA from 1 species
AAGUGAGAAUGCCGGUGUGAGUAGCGAAAGACGGGUGAGAAUCCCGUCCACCGAUUGACUAAGGUUUCCAGAGGAAGGCUCGUCCGCUCUGGGUUAGUCGGGUCCUAAGCUGAGGCCGACAGGCGUAGGCGAUGGAUAACAGGUUGAUAUUCCUGUACCACCUAUAAUCGUUUUAAUCGAUGGGGGGACGCAGUAGGAUAGGCGAAGCGUGCGAUUGGAUUGCACGUCUAAGCAGUAAGGCUGAGUAUUAGGCAAAUCCGGUACUCGUUAAGGCUGAGCUGUGAUGGGGAGAAGACAUUGUGUCUUCGAGUCGUUGAUUUCACACUGCCGAGAAAAGCCUCUAGAUAGAAAAUAGGUGCCCGUACCGCAAACCGACACAGGUAGUCAAGAUGAGAAUUCUAAGGUGAGCGAGCGAACUCUCGUUAA